CAUCUAUAAAAGGGUUGCCACAACCCACAGGUUGAGAACCACAGCUUUAUGCCCUAAACAAGGCAAGCCAAACAUUUUCUAUAAAAACCAGACAGUGAGGUGACCAGGUAGGCCAACAACCUAUUGACAUUCCCACUCUCUUAGCUCCCUCAGGCUGACUGCCCUGGCCCAGACCACAGGACACACCGGACAGAAGACCAGCCUCAAAACACUUCCAAAGUCACCGUUCUGCAAGAAAGCCUGGCAGACUCAGGUCCUCGUCACCUGCACGAGCGCUGUUCAUCCAUGCCUAGCAUUGUUCAGAGCCAAGGAAGCUGGAUCAAUGGAAAGGAGAGAAACAAUUCAUAACAGACUCUCGGAAAGUGGGACUCAGACAUAGGCACUAUAUAUUUCUACAAGUUUCCAAUUCUACUGAGCCAUCAGUUGAGAAGUACUAGGGUAUGUAUUUUUAAUUCUGUCUAAUAGCCACAUGAUUAUUCCUUUCCAGUAUUGGGGAUUUUGCUGCCUGUUAGCUACAUAUAUCUAUAGGCAAAUAAAGCCAGUAUACUCUGAGACUGCAGGAACAGAACAAGUCCACUUGAUGCUUAGAAGUACUCAUACUGUUUUCUAGGUCAACUAGGGUUCCUCUCUCUGAAGUUCAAGAUUGCCCAAGAAGGGAGCCAUGUGACCUCUGAGGAGGCAAUAAGAAAAUGUGGCUCUGUUAGUUGCCCUUCUACUGAGCAUCCCAGUAUGGCACUUGUAGGGCCAUAAUCAUUAUUACGCAAUCAUUAUUACUUCUGACUUGCUAACUAACUGUGGUUUCCUGUGUCUUCCAUCCUGGACCCUGUCACUAAUCUCUCCUUUAAUAAUUAGGCAAAGUCUAUUGUGCACUUAUGCACAGCAAAUCCUCUGUACUGCAGCAUAUAUUGUGAAAAUAGAGGUUGGGUACGAGGAAGGGUAGCAAUAGAGGUAAAAUGCAUGUUUUGUUCACACAGUUGGGUAAACAUCAUGUGUACAUAAACAUUUAUGAGCACACACAUUUUCCAAUUCAAGUCCUGUGCAUGGGAUUAAGGCCAGUGACUUCUGUGGGAAAUUUCAAACUCCAGGUCUCUUCUCAGACAUCACAAUCUCUCUGUUUGUCCAGAUGCACAUAAAACACAAUGGCACUGAAAUGGUUUAUGCAGAUGCCCAAGGUAGAGAGCCCUGCCUGUUAGGAGCUUGUGGCACCUGGCAAAAGAGAGUUUGAUAAAAGAGGAGAAGUCAUGGGCUCAAAGAUUGUGUGAGGAACACUUCCUGAAGGUAUUUUCAGAUUCACUACUGAGUGCUUCUUGUCUUGAAACAUCAAAAGAUAGGAGAACUGAUACAUGUAGCCAAGGGAACAAAGAACAAGGUUGGAAUAACAGUGCAAAGUCAGCAGCACAAAGCCUUGAUCUUAGGGUUUGUUCUUUCCUGUUUUAGAUAGGGUCAGACUGGCCUGGAACUCACUCUGUAGCCCAACCUAGCCUCAAAUGUGCAAGAAUCCUCCUGCCACAGUGCUGAGUGUUGGUAGUAGGACUAGAUUUAUUCCAGGGAGGGGGUGAUGUUACUGCCCUGUCCCACUGUUCUUCCUUCUGGUAGCUGGCAUGCGUAUGAAGUUGGAGUUAUGAUUUGAACUCUCUACCUUGAGUUCUCCAGUGUGUAUGUGCGUGCAUGUGUUUAU
rnacentral:sRNA from 1 species